GCCUGAUCGAAGCCUUCUAAUUGACUCUUCAAAUCAACCGCUACCUUGGGCAGAUUGUUCAAGGAUGGACUAACAGGAUUCGACAUGAUGCCAAGUGGUUGAAGGAUCUGCGGAAAAAAAUUUUUUUUGAGACUCAAGUCUCGAACGUGCUGUAUAUUAAUUUAUUAACGAUAUAUCAUGCAGAUAAAAAACAGCGUAAAAAAGUUUGAAAGAGAAUAAUGUAUUGAUCGAGGAAGUUUGACGAUGCGAAUUCGGUCGACUAACGGCACUCUUCUGAUGUUGAAGGAUCAUCAGAACUUCUUUAGAUGUAGAAAAACCGAAAACAUUGUUUCACUUGAAUAUUAAUCUCCAGUAACUGAUUUAAUAAUUUCGGAAAAAGGUUUUUUAUGCCAUGGGAAAAAUGGAGCUCCUCAGCUGUUAAUUGUAAUUUAAUAUCUGGGCCAGAGAACAAGAAAAGUGUCAAACUAAUAAUGAAACAAGAGAAACUUCCUUGAUGACAAUCAUGAAAAAAAGUGAUUACUAAACGUAAAGGACUUGAGAAAUAACAAAAGGUAGCAUUCCACUAGAGUGAAGUCACUGAACGACGACGACAACGACGACGACAACGUUCCUGCAAUGAAAACGAUAAUAAUCGAUAUAUACAGAGGAAUAAAAAGAAAAAUUCUUCGAAAGGAAUAUUAUGCAAUAGUGAAAAUGUUCUAUAUAAAGAAACAUCAAUUCGAAGCAGAUCAACUCGUCUAAAACGGAAAAUGCUACUCUCAGAAGAGAGCGCGAUGAUGUUGAAUUUUCAUAGCAGAUUAUAUCAACCCUUGGAGGCAGGUGAUUAUUACUACACUAAAUCCACCAUCUUCAAGCAGGUGUUAGUCAUUCAAAAAAGAGAAAAAAAAAUGCUUCCUCGAAUUGAAUUUAGUCACAUUGGCCACAUGUUCUUACAAAAUUUAUCGCUCAUGAAUUUCCGGAAUUUACAGACUAAUAUUUCAAAAUUUUGACGCCGGAUUUUUGGAAUGCUAAACACUUUAAUCGCGGAUAUAAAUAGAGAGAGGGUCUCUCAUUUGCAUACAAAGAGCCAAAUUCUUUACAUAAGGGGAUUACUAAAUUAGGAAAAAAAAAUAAGGAGAAGAAGAAGAAGAAGCGCAGGAAACGAAAGACAAGAAUUGCGAAUAUUUCGGGAAAAAAAGAUUUAAGCGCAUUUAUUUCGAAUGAAAGAGGAGAAAAAAAAAGAGUGAUUAGUAGGUCAACAUGGGCAGGCAAAGCUCCUUUUAUGGUAUGAGAACGGCGCUUAUAUCCAGGGAGACUUUGAAAGAGGCCAAAUACGCAGCAGCAUACAUUUGAUGCUAAAGGUCCGGUUGUGAGGAUAUUCAACUGAAAAAUGGGAGAGGAACCUAAAAACGAAAAUUUGUUCCCAAGGAUUAAAUUUGAAAGAAAAGGGAAUAUUUUUUCCACAUACAAAAAGCGAGACAGAAAUAAGAGAGAUACUCGAAUCAGAAUGAAUAUGGAAAGGAACCUCUUCGGUGAAGACGAUAGAUCGCAAAGUUAAUAAGGUAACUAGGCCGAGACUGUGAGGACGAUGCCAUUUUCUGAAUGCGCGAUCUGAUGUUGGGUGCAAAUAAGGCCAUUUAUAAGCAUUUAAAAUGAACCUCGACUAGAACAGGACAUUCUUUAGCAAAAACGACGCACAGUAAACUCAUGGUUAUGAAAAUUUAUUGAGAUGCCACGCGAAGAGAUGCUUCAUUUAUUUUUCAACGAGCCCUGAAGAUGUGCGAAAAUAACUGGAAAUCUCGAAAGGAAUAGAAACGAGAAGAACGAGAAGGAAAAAUGCUUGCAUCGGUAUAUAGAAAAGUAUAUAUGCAGAAUCCUUUUUGUUCAAUGAGGAUCGAAAUCUUUUAUUCUUCUCUCUUUCUGCUGGAUUUGAAGAACAAGUAACUAACUAUACCCGCAUAAUACAAAGGAACAGAAUCUCGAGUUGCCAAUUAACUUGAGUAAUCGCAAUUAAUGGAGGUUCGUGAAUGAAGAGGCGGACGGAUGUUUAUUAACCGGUUUAUUUUUGGGGGGAAGAAAUAAGAAAAUGUAAGGAGGGCAUGUAAACAUGGACUUUCUCUUUUGGAGUUUCUCACGACAAGAUGGCAAAAGAUUGAACAUUGACGAAUGGAGCACAUCGUACAGUCAUUUUCAGUAGAAUAGGAGAAUGCAUUUCGAUUUAAAGUAUCCUGUGUAAAAUGCUCAACAUCGAAAGCGAAUAUGCGUGGGCGGAUUCAUAUGUGGAUUAAGGACUAAAGGGACAUGGACGUGAACACUGACGGUAAAGGGAGCGCUUUUCGACUACUAUACUCUGUCGGUUCGCAGCAGCAGCAACAGCAGACGGUUUCAUCGAUUGGCAUUGCACAGCUCCAGGGGUCGAGGGUCGUAGAAAAGGGUGGUCUCUCACUCUCUCUCUCUCUCUUCCUCGUGAGCCCUGCGAGCAAAACUUUGCGCCUGUGUCUUCGAUUUGGUGGAAAACGGAGGAAAAAAAAAUCUCCAAUCCAGAGUUGAUGAUGAUAUGAACCGGCAGAAAUGUUCCCUCUUUCAUCAGAGACGAAUUUUUCUUUUUGCUUUUAAUAAGGUACGACGCAAAACACUUAAUAGUAAUUGCGCAUGAAAAUAAAAAGAGUCUUCAAAGGAAAUGCGAAUUACCAAGGCAAAAUUGUGAUGCGUAUCGUAAAUGAUGAUUGAAUUCUACUUGUUCUCUUUUGCCUAUCUCUGUGAAUAUAAGCGAGGACGUUGCAUGCUACGAUUCACUGUGAUCAUUUCAAGAGAUUUCAGAUUAAUAUUAAUUUAUUGAACGUCAGGGACACUGCUAAUGCAAAAAUGGAUCUAUCAAUUUUCUGUGAUAAAAUUAUUCGAGAGAAAAAUAAGUUUUUAUUCUGUUUCUUGAAUUCGAGAGAGGGGAAAAUUUUUUUUUUUUUUACAAAAUUCAUAGAGGAAAAGAGUAGAAAUUAGAUUUUCUUUUCUUCUCGUUAGGAAAACAUUUUUUAUUUUUUUAAUUUUCCGAAGAAAAAAUAUUUUUGUCACUAAAGAAUUAUUCAAAAUAGUAUUUUGGGUUUUCUUUCUCAUUACGAAAAGAAAAAAAAUGUAAAUAUUUAAUUUUAUGAAAGUAUUUUUCAAUUUGGGGGAAAAAAAGCGAUGAUGUUUUUCGUUUGGUCGUAUUUUCUCUGUAAAUUGUAAAAUACUUUUACAAAAUUAAAUAUUAGUUUUCUUUUCGUGAACUGUGGAAUUUUAUUGAGCAUUCAAUGCUAACAGAAAAUUACUUUUGUAAAAGAAAAAAGAUUUUAACUGGGGAAAAUUACAUUUGUGUGAAAAACGAUUCACAAUAAUAGGCGGGGGAGAAAAAUUUGUCAUUCCUGUCAUAGUUUAUAUUCUCACCCCUCAACACUAAAUCGUUAGUAAAUUUGUCAGAAAUCGUUGAAUAGAGCAGAUGUUCGAUAAGAGAUUAUAACGGAUGUAAGUCAACAAUUUUUACAAAUCCGUAAAGAAUUUUUCUUUUCAUUCUAUUUUCUUCUUUUUUAUUAAAUUU